rnacentral:rRNA from 1 species
UACGGAGGGGGCUAGCGUUAUUCGGAAUUACUGGGCGUAAAGCGUGCGCAGGCGGUUGGUUAAGUCUGACGUGAAAUCCCCCGGCUUAACCUGGGAACUGCGUCUGAUACUGGCGAGCUAGAGUACGGUAGAGGAGAGUGGAAUUCCCGGUGUAGCAGUGAAAUGCGUAGAGAUCGGGAGGAACAUCAGUUGCGAAGGCGGCUCUCUGGACCAGUACUGACGCUGAGGCACGAAAGCGUGGGGAGCAAACAGG